rnacentral:tRNA from 1 species
UGGGGAAACAGCUCAAUUGGUUGAGUGCUUGCCUAGCAUGCACAAAGCCCUGGGUUCAAUCCCCAGCAUUACUUAA